rnacentral:lncRNA from 1 species
UAUGGGAAUGCAGCACGGGAUUAAGUUGCGCUUGCAUGUAAUUGACUGGCCUCAGAAAAGGCGAAGUUUUCAGCGCCAAGCAAGGUUGCAAGCUACCUCGCUAUGGUGCUCGCUGCCUUUCACCCUUUCAGCUUUGUAGCCAUUUUACGGCUAUUACUAUUUUCGUUCUUUGCGGCAGAAGGCCCUGGUUUAGUAUGGGCUUACCGCAUCUCCACUUGCACAUUAAACAGUGAGAUUUGUGGAAAAGGGUUCGCAAUGUCCAGAGUGCUGAGCGGGAAAUUCGUUCAGAGAGAUCAACAGCCGUGGAUGGUAAGCAGGUGGUAAAAAUCACGGUCGAGCAACAUGUGGUGUAAU